rnacentral:rRNA from 1 species
UACGUAGGGUGCGAGCGUUGUCCGGAAUUAUUGGGCGUAAAGAGCUUGUAGGCGGUUUGUCGCGUCUGCUGUGAAAAUCCGGGGCUCAACCCCGGACUUGCAGUGGGUACGGACAGACUAGAGUGUGGUAGGGGAGACUGGAAUUCCUGGUGUAGCGGUGAAAUGCGCAGAUAUCAGGAGGAACACCGAUGGCGAAGGCAGGUCUCUGGGCCACUACUGACGCUGAGAAGCGAAAGCGUGGGGAGCGAACAGG